CAUUUACUCCCUCCGUUCCAAAUUACUUGUCGCAGAAAUGGAUGUAUCUAGAACUAAAAUACAUCUAGAUACAUCCAUACCUGCGACAAGUAAUUCGGAACGGAGGGAGUAUUUA
rnacentral:pre_miRNA from 1 species